CUCCGGUGAUCCCUGCCGGACCCGACUGCUAUCGGAUUGAGAUUUAGCCAUGCGAGUCGAACGUCCCCCUGUUGCGGGGGACGUGGCAUACGGCUCAGUAACACGUAGUCAACAUGCCCAGGGGACGAGGAUAACCUCGGGAAACUGAGGAUAAACCUCGAUAGGCCAUGAUUUCUGGAAUGAUUCUUGGCUCAAACCUAUAUGGCCCCUGGAUUGGACUGCGGCCGAUCAGGCUGUUGGUGAGGUAAUGGCCCACCAAACCUAUUACCGGUACGGGCUCUGAGAGGAGGAGCCCGGAGAUGGGCACUGAGACAAGGGCCCAGGCCCUAUGGGGCGCAGCAGGCGCGAAACCUCUGCAAUAGGCGAAAGCUUGACAGGGUUACUCUGAGUGAUUUCCGCUAAGGGAAUCUUUUGGCACCUCUAAAAAUGGUGCAGAAUAAGGGGUGGGCAAGUCUGGUGUCAGCCGCCGCGGUAAUACCAGCACCCCGAGUGGUCGGGACGAUUAUUGGGCCUAAAGCAUCCGUAGCCGGUCCUGCAAGUCUUCCGUUAAAUCCAGCUGCUCAACAGAUGGGCUGCGGGAGAUACUACAGGGCUAGGAGGCGGGAGAGGCAAGCGGUACUUUAUGGGUAGGGGUAAAAUCCGCUGAUCCAUAGAAGACCACCAGUGGCGAAGGCGGCUUGCCAGAACGCGCUCGACGGUGAGGGAUGAAAGCUGGGGGAGCAAACCGGAUUAGAUACCCGGGUAGUCCCAGCUGUAAACGAUGCAGACUCGGUGAUGAGUUGGCUUAUUGCUAACUCAGUGCCGCAGGGAAGCCGUUAAGUUUGCCGCCUGGGGAGUACGGUCGCAAGACUGAAACUUAAAGGAAUUGGCGGGGGAGCA
rnacentral:rRNA from 1 species